rnacentral:piRNA from 1 species
UCCCGGAACUCGGAGGAGUCUGCUGAA